rnacentral:rRNA from 1 species
UACGGGAGGCAGCAGUGAGGAAUAUUGGUCAAUGGGCGAGAGCCUGAACCAGCCAAGUAGCGUGCAGGAUGACGGCCCUAUGGGUUGUAAACUGCUUUUAUACAGGGAUAAAGUGCGCCACGUGUGGCGUUUUGUAGGUACUGUAUGAAUAAGGACCGGCUAAUUCCGUGCCAGCAGCCGCGGUAAU